AUGUACCACUCGUACACUGCGGUUCCUGCGCGCCGUCCGCGCCCACCUGACGGCUGCUCGCGCGCAAGGCGUAAGUG
rnacentral:sRNA from 1 species